rnacentral:lncRNA from 1 species
CUGUCCCUUCAGCAAGUGUGUUAUAACUCAUUUGGGUUGGGAAGCCAUGAAGGUUCCUCAUCUCUGCCUUCUGCAAUUUUGCAUAUUUUAAGGGUUAUAUUUGUCUGCUUUUAGACAGGGUCACUCUCUACCUCAGGCUGGCCUGGAACUCACUAUAUAGCCACGGAUCAUGUGUCACCAAGGUGACUGUCAAGCCUUGAUGUACAUCUUCACAAAUGGUCAGGCUGUCCAUGAUGAGGAACCUGCUGGUGUCUUGUUCUUCCCAUCCUUGAAGCUGCCCCCAACCUGAAAAAGAUUUCAAACCUAGAUGCCACUCCACCCCAUUUAAGACCAGAGACUACGUGGUCCUCCUGUGAAGCAAUCUGGAAGAUCUCAGGGCUCAGUAAAUGGAAACAGGAAACAUCCAAAUACGUCUCCAAGUCCACUCACAAGCAUUCUAACCAUCUUACUGCAGCCCCAGAGAUCUCACUACCUCCACAGAGUAAGUCAGGACUGGGAUAAUAAAUCAUGGUUAGAAAAACAUGCCUGGUGAGAUGGGUAUUAAAUAAAAUAUAGCUCAUUUAAGUUGCUUUAAUCUCUCCCAUUAGAGAGUGGGUAAUAACUGAAAAGAUUUUAGCACAUAAAUUGCCCUCAUCUGUAACAUGAGGCAU